rnacentral:rRNA from 1 species
UACGAAGGGAGCUAGCGUUGUUCGGAAUCACUGGGCGUAAAGCGCACGUAGGCGGAUGUGUCAGUCAGGGGUGAAAUCCCAGAGCUCAACUUCGGAACUGCCUUUGAUACAGCACGUCUUGAGUCCGAUAGAGGUGGGUGGAAUUCCUAGUGUAGAGGUGAAAUUCGUAGAUAUUAGGAAGAACACCGGUGGCGAAGGCGGCCCACUGGAUCGGUACUGACGCUGAGGUGCGAAAGCGUGGGGAGCAAACAGG